rnacentral:rRNA from 1 species
AGUGAACGCUGGCGGUAGGCCUAACACAUGCAAGUCGAACGGCAGCACAGUAAGAGCUUGCUCUUACGGGUGGCGAGUGGCGGACGGGUGAGGAAUACAUCGGAAUCUACUUUUUCGUGGGGGAUAACGUAGGGAAACUUACGCUAAUACCGCAUACGACCUACGGGUGAAAGCAGUGGAUCUUCGGACCUUGCGCGAUUGAAUGAGCCGAUGUCGGAUUAGCUAGUUGGCGGGGUAAAGGCCCACCAAGGCGACGAUCCGUAGCUGGUCUGAGAGGAUGAUCAGCCACACUGGAACUGAGACACGGUCCAGACUCCUACGGGAGGCAGCAGUGGGGAAUAUUGGACAAUGGGCGCAAGCCUGAUCCAGCCAUACCACGUGGGUGAAGAAGGCCUUCGGGUUGUAAAGCCCUUUUGUUGGGAAAGAAAAGCAGCAGGUUAAUACCCCGCUGUUCUGACGGUACCCAAAGAAUAAGCACCGGCUAACUUCGUG